AGCAGGUCUGGAUAAAAACAACCCUUUUCUGCCCUUUCACCUUGAAUCCUGGGCGUCUCACCUGUUUGGAGACGAUCAGGACUUCAGCAUCUUCCACACUGAGCAGAAGUUCCUGUUUCCAGCGUCCUCCACCAGCCUGCGAACCACUAGUGCACGUCCUGUUGGAUUCCUCUUUGUGCCCCAACAUCUAGAUCAAGCAAGCAGGGCCGAUGGAGUCCCUUCUGCCGCCCCAGGAUACAGGACCAGGAGGGACGAGUGGCUUCCUUAGCUCUCAAGUCAGCCACCCCACAGGAAGAAUCAGCCUGCCACGCCUGCUGGUGAUCAGCAAUUGCUGGAAAUUUCCUCAGCUCCCUCCGCAGCAGCCCUCCAAUGCCUCCCCGUCCCUCACCAUGCCUUCCUUCCAUCAUUCCCUUCAUCCCAAAUUCCUGGAGCUGGGUGUGCAGCGACUUCAUAGCUGCCCCCACCCCCACCUCCCCCCACACCCUC
rnacentral:lncRNA from 1 species